rnacentral:rRNA from 1 species
AACUUCCCCAAACCCAAUGUGAACGUUACCAAACUGUUGCCUCGGCGGGAUCUCUGCCCCGGGUGCGUCGCAGCCCCGGACCAAGGCGCCCGCCGGAGGACCAACCAAAACUCUUUUUGUAUACCCCCUCGCGGGUUUUUUUAUAAUCUGAGCCUUCUCGGCGCCUCUCGUAGGCGUUUCGAAAAUGAAUCAAAACUUUCAACAACGGAUCUCUUGGUUCUGGCAUCGAUGAAGAACGCAGCGAAAUGCGAUAAGUAAUGUGAAUUGCAGAAUUCAGUGAAUCAUCGAAUCUUUGAACGCACAUUGCGCCCGCCAGUAUUCUGGCGGGCAUGCCUGUCCGAGCGUCAUUUCAACCCUCGAACCCCUCCGGGGGGUCGGCGUUGGGGAUCGGCCCUCCCUUAGCGGGUGGCCGUCUCCGAAAUACAGUGGCGGUCUCGCCGCAGCCUCUCCUGCGCAGUAGUUUGCACACUCGCAUCGGGAGCGCGGCGCGUCCACAGCCGUUAAACACCCAACUUCUGAAAUGUUGACCUCGGAUCAGGUAGGAAUACCCGCUGAACUUAAGCAUAUCAA